AGCUUAGUGCAGUGGCAGUAUCAUAGCCAAUGAGAUUUAUCUGAGGUGUGAUUAUUGCUAAUUGAAAACUUACUCUUUUUUUAAAAAAAAAGAGCUUGUUUUAUUUUAGCUACAACUCAAAAAUU